AUUCUGCCUCAAACAGCGUGGUAGGGGGCGGUCUGAAAACCAUCACUCUACUCCCCGAGCACUCACCUUUCCCCUUUGCUGGAUGACAACCCAAGAUGCAAAGGACAGCUCCACAGAUAACAGGGGGCAGGGGGAACGAGGAGACCUUGGAAACCUGACCUGAAGUCUGGGUUUUAUUCAAACUCUGUAGAACUUGGAGUCUCUGGAUCUCUUGCUCCUUGGUUUCUUCAUCUGUAAAAUGGGUCCACGGUAUCUACCCGCUGGGCCUCGCAGGGCUGCUUUGGGAUGUGGAAAUGCUUCGUAACGGGAGAAGGAAACCACCCACAUGGCCAGAUUACGGAGGCUUGCUUACGCUUUGAUCUGUCUGCUCUGCCGGGCUUGCAGCCCAAAUGUGGUCUUAAUUAAUAUCGGAUUUUUGAGAAGCUAUCUGAGAGUUGAAUACUCUCCCAGGUGUGCGUAUCACUCCUCCCCCUCUCCUCCCACAAGCGCCAAGUAUUCCCUAACUGUUUAUUUCGUCCUGGGAGGUAAGAAGGCGAGGUGUGAAGCUGGGGGCUAGAGUGAAUUGCUCAAGGUCACGCGGCUUAUAAUUAACAGAACUGAGGCUAGAACCAGUUCCUUCUCCCAGAUGGGGGCCCUCCAGCAUGUCAGUGACCGACUAACCACCCUGAAAUGCAGCUGCCACCUGUGAGCGACAGCCUCAGUCUGUCUCGGCGUUCGUUGGAGUACUUCCCUCGGACUAAAUAAGGUCAGCCCGUUCUUCAAAGUACAGGCGACAGACCUGAGCAAAAUCUGUACGAGAAUGAGGUGAUGUCGCCGGAAUUGUCACUGCACCAGGAAAAACCGAUCUAGUUACCAAAGCGGGACCCCCCUUUUUUUCCUACUGGCAACAGGAAAAGCCCCAUGUGGGCCCCUGAGAUGCUUUUUCAUUUCAUUUACCACAUCCUGGGUUUGUGCUAGUCAAAUCUGCUAAACUGAUACGAUCAAAAAAGAAGAAAACACAGGUUUCACGGCCAGACCUGAGUGUUUCCUGAUCGCCAUGGCAACGCGCAGGUGUACACAUUGUGGUUUCUUUCUUUCUCUCUUCCCGGAGACUCGCUCACCAAAAACCACUUGACCUUCCAGAGAUGUAUAGUGAGAUGACGGUCCUGAGGCACACACUGUCCUUUGCUGGAAAGACUCUGUUGGAUCCAGGGUUGGGUGGGAACGUAAACAGGCUUCCUCCACCACCCCCCCCACCCCCCCCCCGGCUUCCCCUGUUCCCAUCACCCCACGAGGAGGCAGGGGUGGGGUCUUCCUUCAGACUGGGGAAACAACCCAAGAGCUCCAUUGGGUCAGUCAGGGUGGUGGCUGAGAGAUCCUUUUGGACUCUCCUCGGACAGAGCGGAUGUAAUGGGCCCCUGUCGGUUCAGUGUUGGCUGCCAUGAUGGGCUCGAUGUUCCCAUGGACAAGAGGCUGAAAGGUCAGGGGGUACAGCCAGGCGCCAAGAAGUUGGGGUGCGUUUCCUUUCUGAGUGCCAAGAGGUGCACAGCUCAGUUGAAAGCAACCCAGGACACAUUCUGGAGGAAAUUCUCUGGGUAUGAUGGUGUAUGACUAUUUUCUCUGCUCAUUAAACCCUCACCCACCUCCGGGGCAAUUCCGGGAGAGACUGAGUCACCCAAGACUCAUGGUCUGCCCUGGGCGGCCAAAGGCGAUUCGGCCACUGAGUGUGAUUUUGGCCUCAUUCAGAAAUGGAUCCUGAACAAUAGAUCCUUUCACCAGGCGCCCAUCACAUGGGCGUCAGGGGAUGGGGGAGAGUGACGUGGGGGCAACAGGAAGUCUGCCAGCUUUCUGGCCUGGCGGGCCUGAGUGGCGGCAGGGGCUCUCACAGCUAGGAGAGUCCUGGAUGGAAACUCGUGGGCUUUGAAGACAUCAAACCGUCAAAGAAAUGAAGAACAGAAUGGUUUCUUCGUGUCCCAUUAAGACAGUGGGUUGUGGCUUCAUUGGGAACAGCUUGCUCAGGCCUCUUAUAAAACCAAUUCAGGAGUAAGAGCACUGGAGUAGGAGUCAGGAAUCUAGCAGCUAUGGACCCCGGGGGCCCGCUUUUCUCAAAGCUGGCUGGGAGACCCUGCUCAGCCAUUCUGGAUUUUGUUUGCUCUUUGUGUCUCAAGAGAAUUUGGUGAGAAGCUGUCUGUUGCCCCACCUGGCUUUAAACAUAGAUGAUCCAAUGAGCCAUAAUGCUUUCCAAAAAAAAUUGGCCUUUUCUAGCCCUGCUUCUAUCAGAGUCAGUUCAGUUGGGUUUGUGAGUUGUGUCAUCUUUUUUUUAGACACGAGCUCAGCCAAUCAGAGGAUAGAAACAGAAUCCUGGCUCUUUCAUGAUAAACACUCUGAAAAUGCAGCUGCCACUGCCCGGAGGCUUGCAUGCCACUUAUACUCCCAGGAGCUCCGUGGAAGUGGCCGCCAUCGGCCUGCAGGGCCAUGCUCCUGCUUGAUUGGCCUGGCAUUUUCGUUUGGUCGGUUGAGAUUUCUGGGCUGGGCAGAAGACAUCCUCAAAAUGUUACCAGGACAGCCUGUGGUCCGGUGUCCCAGCCCUGGGCCAACCCUGAGUCCCAAGACCCUCUCUUCAUUUGCCCCGCCUGGUGGGCCAGAGGCUGUAAAAGGCAAGGGAAGCCUGAGGCUAUGGCUCGGGUUGGAUUCUCAGCUCCCAGGGGUUUCAUGGGGCAAGCACGGGUAGAAUCAGAAAGAGGUGAGUGGCCCACUGUUGGGGAAAUCCAGUGAACACGGAGACCUCCGAAUCUUCUCCCCGGGGAGAGCGUGGACAUUCCAUUAGGGAGGGCUUUCCCGGAAGCUUUAUCGGGUUCUUGAGCCAAGGGCCCUGAAUCAAGGGACCUCUGAUCUUAUAAUAAUAUUCCAUAAGCUCAAAUUCCUCUUUCCAGAGCUCUCUUUUAGGGCUCACCUCUCCGCACUUUAAAAACCACACAGAAGACAGGUGGCUUCCUGUAGUCAGAGCAUCUGGCCCCUGCACAGGGUGCCAGUCACACCUCAGUGUAAUCAACUGGACCGCCCAGUCUGAAACCAAGCCCCUGCUUAUGAGCUCCGGUUACUCGCGUCUUCUCAAUGGAUCAGUUCCCUCCUGCCUAAAAUGGGGAUAAUGAUGGUGCCAACCACAUAGGAUUGUGGCGAGAAUUACAUGAAUUCUGAGGUGCAAAUGCUGAAAACCUCGCACGCCGGCCCGCUGCUGGCAGUUCUCUGCAUGGCCGUGGGAACUGCACAAGGCAUCGGGUCCCAGCAACUGGCCCUAUUCCCGACUUCAAGAAAAAGCAACUUCCCCAGACACAUAGCCAACUCUGGGACCAAAUCAGUAGAAAAAAAUCCUCUUCUGCCUUUGGUUUGUAGAACCAAGAGUCUCUGGGCGCAGGAUGACUGUGUGUCGCCUUCACCUGGGACACAGAAGGGCCGUCACCCUCUCUCGGGAGACCUGACCUCAGAACUGGCCCUAUGACAAGGAUGCCCAUUGUAGACAAAACUUAGACAGAGCCAGCUCCAAAACUGAAAGUCGGUCUCUUGAAACAUUUGCUUCUGGGGAAAACAGCAAAGGUUCUCAGAAGCAGAUGCUUCGGGUUAAAGACAUUUUAAGUGUCCAACAGGGAAUUCUCAACAGGGCCCAGCUGGUGAGUCUCGAGAUGUCAUGUGGGGGAUGGACUUGAGAGCUCUUCGUUUUUGCACCUCACAAGUCUCCUUGUCCUGAGUGGUGUUGAGGGUAGGACAGAGUAUCCACUCAUUCAUUCAUUCAUUCAUUCAUUUGUUCAACAUGUGCCCACUCUGUGCGGUGUUGUGCUGGGUACUGGGGACACAGUGAUGAGGGAGAGCUACAGUCCCUACUGUCAUAAAGAAGUUCCAAAAUUCCAGCAUCUUGGAAUCUCUCGUUACUGAAGGGACCCUGAAGAUAAUAGUUUCUUGUUAUUCUUUACCUGUUGAUGUCAUAUAGACUUCUCUGAGAAACUAAUGGAACCUAGGGAUGCUGUCCCACCCAAAACCCUCCAUACACACACACACACACACACACACACACACACACACAUGCACAUACCUGCACACACAGAUACAUAUACACACAUAGGCUUGCACACGAUUUCGCAGGUUUAUAGACACUCCCCCCCCCCCCGCCCCCAAAGACCAGCUGGUGAAUCUGGAUGGAAAACCUCUUGUCACUCAGCUCUAUCGCUGGUCAGCUGUGUGACCACCCCGAUUCCCACUCGCCCCUCAGGAAGUGGAUGUGUGGAGGACAGCAAGCUAGGGAAACAUUAUACAAUGCUCGACUCAGCAGAUGGGGUGAUGUGUCUACCACUUGGGGAGAGACUGGGGCAAACCAAGAAGCUAUUCGUCUCCAGCCUUGCCAUUUCAUUUGGCAAGGUUUUGUUUGACAUGUGUUGGGCCGAUUUUACUAGACAGACCUAUUUUCCUUGAUGUGUGGCUUAGUGGAAAAUAUAGGUAAGAUUAAUGGUGUUAGGGGUCAGCUAGGAUUUAUGCCAAGAAUGGAUGUAUCCCAGAACCCUGCCUCAUUGGCAGUAUAGCACAGAGGUCGGAUCCCUGCCUUUCUCACCUGGAUGACCGGGGGCAAGUUAUUGAACCUAUUUGUGCCUCAGUUUCCUUGUCUCUAAAACGGGGUUAGCAAUAGUGCCUCCUUCAUAGCAUUUUUGCGAGAAUUAAAUUGGCUGAAGUAGAUAAGCCCUUAAUAGGCAUGACAUACAAUUGAUUCUAAUUAAGUCCAAACACCGUAUCAAACCCUGAAGGGUUGGGAUCUUCAACCCGUCAAGGAGAAGACUGAGUGUCAGAGAGGAGAAGGAACUACCUAGCCUUAUAACCUGGAAUGAGUGACCAUGUCAGGAUUUGAACCCAGCUGUGGGAGGGUCCUCAAUAAGCUGAACUACCAACCCGCAUGUGAGUCUGGUGCCAGGGAGUACGUUAGACAAGAAGGGCACUCCUACCUCUUCCCCUGUGGCAACGAGAUCCCUCUCCAUGACUCCGUGACCUCUCUGACCCUCCUAUAGUAACGAGGGUUCUGACGGCCCGGGUGGCAUUUCUCCCUCCAGAGAGACUCCUCCCUGAAUCUGGAAGUGGCCUUGAACAGUAACCGUUGCCUGUUGGGUCUCUCAGAGGGAGGGACUUGGGACAGUUUACUUAUUACAUGACACAGGAAAUUUAUUGGAGACCAGAGGCCUCAACGGAAAACAUUCUUGACUUAUUUUCAGUUGGAAACGUUUGAGAGAUAAAAUUGGCCACUCAGUGUUAGCCUUUUGAGUCACAACAGAUCCCUAAUCACAGAAGUCUCUGUUUUUCGGGAGAGAUGCACACACAUCUGGGAAGGGCUGCUUCUCUGCAGGGGUUCGUGUUUCUGGUGUGGGUUAAAUGCCACUGCCGCCGAUGCUGGAGCCCCAUCGGGUGACCUGUGGUCCAUGGCUACUCACACCUCAGCCUUGCUCUUAACUUCACUUAAACCUUGGAAAUAUUCUCAGCUAUGCACUGGGAGUCGUAGUUGGGAGGUCAUAACAAGUUACCUAAAUCAGGGUAGGGAGUAGUAGCCUGGUGAUUAAGUCGAUAGGUGCGCGGUACCAGACUAGUUGGAUUUGAAUCCCAGCUGCAUCAUCACUAGCUCUGUGAACCUGGCCAUGUUUCCUCCCUUCUCUGUACCUCAGCUUCUGUAUCUGGAAAGUGGGGAUAAUAAUAUCACCUACCUCGUAGGGUUGGGGGUUCUCUUUGUUUGUUUUUUUAAUCUUUUUUAACAUUCAUUUAUUAUUGAGAGACAGAGCGUGAGCAGGGGAGGGGCAGAGGGAGAGGCCGACAACAGAAUCUGAAGCAGGCUCCAGGCUCCGAGCAAGCGGUCAGCACAGAGCCCGACGCGGGGGCUCGAACCCACAAACCACGAGAUCGUGACCUGAGCCGAAGUCGGACGCUCGACCGACGGAGCCACCCAGGCGCCCCUUGUAGGGCUGUUUUAAGGACAAAAUGAGUUCGUGCUCGUAAAGUGUUUAGAGGAGCGUCUGGCAUAUGUCUAAGUGCACAAUCCAUGUUUGCUACUGUCCUUGCUGUCGGUAUUAUCAGUAUCCUUUGGAGUUAUAAUUUGGGUUUGCAUAAGUGUUAAGGAAGCCUGUCGGAAAGUCUUCAUCAAUCAUUAAAGGAUACACAGCCCUGACAGCUUAGUCCCUUUAAGGCAAGACGGACCCAGAGGGGAAGAACUAUAAGCCCUCAUGGGGAUAGUUGGCUUGAAGUGAAGUUUCGGGCACCGUCUCUGCAAUCCCUAGGUGGCUAAAAUCCAUCAGGAUUAGCAGCUGGACCUUGUCUGUUAGAUUAAGGUAAAUGGAAGCCGUGGAACUUCCAGUCUGCACAGAAUUUCUUCUCUCGGCAGCCCUUUGCUGAUCCCUACUGUGUGGCAGGCCCGUGAACGCCUCCCAGUCAAGGACCACUGAAGGCUGAGUUUACCUGUUUCUUCCUGUCUUGGCUGGAAGGACAGACGCACAAAACCACCUGCACCUCCUGCGCUCCGCCGUGCGGACACACACAGCGCAUGCGUGUGUUGUCUGGAAGGUCGGGUCGGCAGCCGCAUGCGGAACUCAAGGCAUUUUAUUCAAAAGUCUCAGUUCCUUUUGCAUUUGCAUGUUCUGGAUGCCAGGUGGCAAACUAGAAUUAAUUUUAAUACAACAGAAACUGCCAUUCAGCUCCAAACCACCGUCCUUGGUGGUUUAUUUUUAACCCGGGAGUGACACGGGCCACCUGGCCAAGUGCUGCCAGGCAGUCGCCCCUCCUGCCGUCUGCUGAAGCCUCCCCCAGGAGCCUCACCUCCAAGGAGUCGGUUGGGAGGCUGUGUUUUACUUUUGUAGGCUGCCGGAAGGGCUGUCGCCCCAGCUUCCCCGGUGCGAACGUUGGCUGACAAAGGCCAAAGCUGAAAAUGUCAGUGAGAACAAACAAUAUUUCAAAAGGGCCUUGUGCAUUUCCCUCCUCUGUCUUGCCUCAUCAGCCAAGUGUUGUGCGAGUGGCUCCAGAAGGACACCAGUCGACCCAGGAAGAAAUUAAUCACACAAAAACACAUUUCUCCAGUCCACUUAGUUCUGAUGCUAUUAAGCAGCACCUACGUGCUAAUGAUACAGAGAGAGAGAGAGAGAGAGAGAGAGAGAAGCAAUUGAUAUCGGUGGAUGUCUUUUCAAAGCUCCAUUUCUUGUUUCUUCUUUUAGUAUUUUCAGGCUCAGGAAAGCUCAUACAGAAAUGUUAUGGUUCCAGACACUGUUCGCCGGUGGUUAGCACCUGCUUCCUGCUCAGAAAGGAGAAAGCGCUUCCUGUCCAUCCAGCUCAGUAACACUGAUCUAUCUUAGUCCUUACGUAGUCGUCGUUUAGGCGUGCCUCUCCCCCUUAGAGCGCAGAUUCACUCUAGUGACACGAAGGAAUCCCAGGGCACACAGCGAAGCGGUUUGGAGGGUGGGUUUGGGUGACACAGACCUGAGCUGGGACUCCGGCCCUGCCGUGUAAUAGCUGGGCGACUUUGGGAAGGUGUUUCCAUUUCCUGAGCUUCGGUUUCUUCGCCUAUAAACACUACAGACAUGCAUACAAUUCACCUCUCGGGGUCUGCGGAAGAUAAUGUAACACGGAACCCCAAAGGUGCUGGGGGCGCGGGGGGACUCUGCAGGAACAGGCCUCCCCGCCCCGCCCCCCACCCCGACCCCGGGCUACUGGCUCAGAACUGCAGACCAAAGCAACUGAGAUUCAGGAAGUCAGCUACAGGCUCCAGACAGAAAUGCCUGCUUCCUGGGGCCACUUACGUCUCUGAGCCUCAACUUUCUCAUGAAUGAACGUGCAGAAUCUUCUGACCACCUCUGGAGCAGGCCAAGUGAGAGAUGGCGUCUGAGUUAAAGUCAGUGUUGUCUGAAGCCACACCUGGCCCCUGACUAACGAUGUGGUGCCUGGCCUGGCACGCGGGCCACCAUGCAGUAGGCCCAGAGGAAGGUAAGCUUCCUCAGGAAAGGACAGCCCUCGAGGCUCAAGGAAGUACGCUUCACCAGGACAGCUACAAUGACUUAACCUUUCCGCGUUGGAGUUUCCUAAAGUGCAGACCGGGGAUAAUAACAGUCCUAGAAAAAUAAUGAGUUUUCUCCUAAGGGGAUAGAAGCCUUCUGAGAUAGUUACACAGGAUCGGGUAGAAUCAGAUAACUUUUCAACUCCUUCUUGAGAUUUUAGGUUCACGUCUGCCAAAUGCACAGAAGCUCUUGGGUUAAAUAAUUCUUUAAGCAGCUGGUAGCCAUUGGGCCUCUAUUUUGAAUGCCACUGACUCUUGGGAGCCAGCAACUGAUCUUGGCCUUAUCUGUCAACAUGUUGAAAGUGUGUUUCUUAGGAAAUUUUAGUGAGUCAUUUAUUCAUUCAGUAAAUAUUGGUUGAACAUCUACUCUCUGGCACACCGUUGUGAGAAUUAGAGAAACACUAUAAACAGGGAAAAGGCCUUGCUUUUUUUGGAGCCUCCAUCACAGGAAGGGUGGAUGGAUAAUAAUUAAAUGCAAAAAUAAAUAAACAAGUUGCUGUGGAGGCACAAAAGCAGGGUGAGUGAGGGAGACACCGUGGGCUGGAUGACAGUGUUGAGGGAAGUGAGGGGGUGACGUGAAGCCAAACCAAAAAUGCCAUGAUCUAAGGACAGAACAUUCCAGACAGAGGGGGUGGCAGAUAAAAGUAUUCUAAGGUGGCAAAGGGCUCAGUUCCAAAGGAACUGAAGGCAAGCCUUAUGGCUGGAGCAGAGUGAGCUACAAAAGGUUAGAGAGGGAGACAGGAGCCAGCUCGUGUAGGUCUUAUCAGCCAUGAUAAGGACAUUUAUUCUGGGUACGACCAGAAGCCAUCGAGGUUGUUAAGUUAUGGGAACAAUGAAUAUCACAUGAUUGGGGGGAAAUGCUCAUAGUAUGAGAUUAAGUGGAAAAAAAGACCAUCAAAUCAAAAACUGUAUAUUUAGUACCAUUUUUACUAUGUAAGUACAUAAGUAGACACACCCACAUGAGUGCACACACACACACACACACACACUCAGAAAACUGAAAGAAGAUACAGCAAAAUAUUUAAAGUGUUGGCGAUAGUUGGUGGCCUUGCUUUUCCUUCCUUACUUCCCUGAAUUUUGUCGGGUUUCUACAAGUUAUAUGACUUUCAUAAUCAGAAAUAAAUCCUGUGCUUUUUAAAAACUUGGUUGUAAAGCAAUUGAUGGAGAGAAAGUAGAGUGACCCUGCUUUACUGUGUCUGAUCUCAGCGUUGAGCUGAACGUGUGGGGCUUUGGAAGGCCAUGUGAAUGUGGAAGACUCUGGCCAGUAGAGGUUUUUUAAGUGAGUCUUUUUUUUAAAGUUUAUUUAUUUUGAGAGCGAGAGCGAGAGAGAGAGAGAGAGAGAGAGAGAGAGAACCCCAAGCAGGCUCCACACCUUCA